UACGUAGGGUGCGAGCGUUAAUCGGAAUUACUGGGCGUAAAGCGUGCGCAGGCGGUUCGCCAAGUCAGGUGUGAAAUCCCCGGGCUCAACCCGGGAACUGCGUCCGAAACUGGCAGGCUCGAAUUCGGGAGAGGGAUGCGGAAUUCCAGGUGUAGCGGUGAAAUGCGUAGAUAUCUGGAGGAACAUCGGUGGCGAAGGCGGCAUCCUGGACCGAUAUUGACGCUGAGGCGCGAAAGCCAGGGGAGCAAACGGG
rnacentral:rRNA from 1 species